GACGAACGCUGGCGGCGUGCUUAACACAUGCAAGUCGAACGAAGAGCGACGGAAGCUUGCUUCUAUCAAUCUUAGUGGCGAACGGGUGAGUAACGCGUAAUCAACCUGCCCUUCAGAGGGGGACAACAGUUGGAAACGACUGCUAAUACCGCAUACGAUCUAACCUCGGCAUCGAGGAUAGAUGCAAGGUGGCCCCUACAUGUAAGCUAUCACUGAAGGAGGGGAUUGAGUCUGAUUAGCUAGUUGGAGGGGUAACGGCCCACCAAGGCGAUGAUCAGUAGCCGGUCUGAGAGGAUGAACGGCCUCAUUGGGACUGGGACACGGCCCAGACUCCUACGGGAGGCAGCAGGGGGGAAUCUUUCGCAAUGGAAGAAAGUCUGAAGGAGCAACGCCGCGUGAGUGAUGACGGCCUUCGGGUUGGAAAGCUCUGUUAAUCGGGACGAAAGGCCUUCUUGCGAAUAGUGAGAAGGAUUGACGGUACCGGAAUAGAAAGCCACGGCUAACUACGUG
rnacentral:rRNA from 1 species